rnacentral:sRNA from 1 species
UACAUCAUGUCUAUCUAUUGCGCUUUGCCC